rnacentral:tRNA from 1 species
CCUGGUGGCUCAGAGGGUGAAGCGUUUGCCUGCAAUGCAGGAGACCCGGGUUCAAUUCCUGGGUCAGGA